rnacentral:tRNA from 1 species
UGAAAGAUGGGUGAGUGGUUUAAACCGCAUGUUUAGAAAACAUGUAUAAAUAUAUUAUCAAGGGUUCAAAUCCCUUUCUUUCAU